rnacentral:rRNA from 1 species
AUUGAACGCUGGCGGCAGGCCUAACACAUGCAAGUCGAGCGGAUGCAGGGAGCUUGCUCCUGGAUUCAGCGGCGGACGGGUGAGUCAUGCCUAUGAAUCUGCCUGGUAGUGGGGGAUAACGUCCGGAAACGGGCGCUAAUACCCCAUACGUCCUGAUGGCGAAAGUGGGGGAUCUUCGGACCUCACGCUAUCAGAUUAGCCUAGGUCGGAUUAGCUAGUUGGUGGGGUAACGGCCUACCAAGGCGACGAUCCGUAACUGGUCUUAGAGGAUGAUCAGUAACACUGGAACUGGGACACGGUCAAGAAUCCUACGGGAGGCAGCAGUGGGGAAUAUUGGACGAAGGGCGAAAGCGUGAACAAGCCAUGCCGCGUGUGUGAAGAAGGUAUUCGGAUUGUAAAGCACUUUAAGUUGGGAGGGAGGGAAGUAAGUUAAUACCGUGAUGUUUAGAAGAUACCAACAGAAUAAGCACCGGCUAACUUCGUG